UGAGGAAUAUUGGUCAAUGGUCGGGAGACUGAACCAGCCAAGCCGCGUGAGGGAGGAAGGUACAGAGUAUCGUAAACCUCUUUUGUCAGGGAACAAAGACGGGGACGCGUCCCCGGAUGAGUGUACCUGAAGAAAAAGCAUCGGCUAACUCCGUGCCAGCAGCCGCGGUAAUACGGAGGAUGCGAGCGUUAUCCGGAUUUAUUGGGUUUAAAGGGUGCGCAGGCGGUCUGUUAAGUCAGCGGUCAAAGCCCGGGGCUCAACCCCGGCCCGCCGUUGAAACUGGCAGUCUCGAGUUGGAGAGAAGUAUGCGGAAUGCGCGGUGUAGCGGUGAAAUGCAUAGAUAUCGCGCAGAACUCCGAUUGCGAAGGCAGCAUGCCGGCUCCACACUGACGCUGAGGCACGAAAGCGUGGGUAUCGAACAGG
rnacentral:rRNA from 1 species